rnacentral:rRNA from 1 species
UACAGGGGGUGCAAACGUUGCUCGGAAUUAUUGGGCGUAAAGCGCACGUAGGCGGUUCGUUAAGUCGGAUGUGAAAGCCCUCGGCUCAACUGAGGAAGUGCACCCGAAACUGGCGAGCUUGAGUACGAAAGAGGAUCGCGGAAUUCCCGGUGUAGAGGUGAAAUUCGUAGAUAGUCGGGAGGAACACCGGUGGCGAAGGCGGCGAUCUGGGUCGAUACUGACGCUGAGGAGCGAAAGUGUGGGGGAGCGAACAGG